AGAAAUAAGAUGUCGUACGCCAUUUUUCCAUUAUAUAAAUAGACAUGCGUUUAUCGAUAGUUUAAAAAUUUGCUUAUAUUUCGUUUACAAAAAUAAAAUAAAACGCGAGAUAAUUCAUCCUAUCUAUGAAUGAAAAAUAAAAUUUCCUAUCUAAUCGAGACUAAAGACGUUCUCAUCGAGUCUUAACUAAAGUAAAGAGAAAGAGAUUUCCGCGAGUUAUGGAAUUAAUGAUUCUUCGAUAGAAUCCCGAUUAAUGAUUGCUCGCAUCCGGCGAAACCUGAAAUUUUGAUUCAUUGAUCAUGCUUUCACGUUUCGUCCUCUCCUGUUUUCCUUCUUUUUCUUAUAUAUCUACUUAUUUUUCAGUCCUCCAAUUAUUUAAUUUUUUUAAAUUAUUUUCUUUAUUUUAUUCUUUCGAAACGCAGGAAAAAAUUGGUGCCUUUAGCGAUCGACGUACGCAUCACGAUCCUGUUCCAGUUUAUCGAGGGUAGCCAGCCAGACCGUGAACGCAUACGACGCUCUGUGGAUAAGGAUGACAGGGAUGCUGGUGCUGAAGCACGAGGGUUGUUGUCGUCGUAGGUGGAGGAGGAGGAGGAGGCGGAGGUGGUGGAGGAGGAGGAAGGGAAGUGAGCCACGUCACGCCUGGCUCCGCUCUGUGUCAUUUGCUGUUCUGUUGUAGUGCCGCGUUGAUUUGUGCCCACAGUUCUUUGGUACAGGAUUGAGAUCUAUAAAUGAAAUUAUAUUUCCAAUAUCAGUUUUAUGGAUUUAUGCUUUAUGAUUAGUAAACCACAUGUGUUUAAAAAUUUAUG
rnacentral:misc_RNA from 1 species